UUUAACGCAGGAUGCUGCUGAAAAUCGGUCCCAAUUAAGUGCCCUUCAUGCUGCUCUAGAAACAGAGAAAAGUUGCUGCAUGUGAUUUUAUGUCAUUCCUGCUAUGUGGCUGGAGUGCUUGACCAUUCAUCUUUUCAGUGCCUCAGAGCAGCUGGCAAUUGGGAUGGGGAACAGACACAGAUUAAUGGAUUUGCCCAAGGUCAUCCAGGGAGUCAGUGGCAGACCUUGGAAUUGAACCACCCCCAUCCCACCCCGCUGUCCUAAGUCCCAUUCUAGUGCCUUAGCCACCAGAUCAUACUUCCUCUCUGCAGCCACAUGGUAAGGAGCAGGAGACAUGGGCAAUUGAUUUCUGUUUCAACUGCAAGCCUGUCCUGAGUGAAAGCCCCAUGUUGGUAAUAAAUAUUAUGGCUGAACUCC